GAUGGACGCUGGCGGCGUGCCUAAUACAUGCAAGUCGAGCGAACAGACGAGGAGCUUGCUCCUCUGACGUUAGCGGCGGACGGGUGAGUAACACGUGGAUAACCUACCUAUAAGACUGGGAUAACUUCGGGAAACCGGAGCUAAUACCGGAUAAUAUAUUGAACCGCAUGGUUCAAUAGUGAAAGACGGUUUUGCUGUCACUUAUAGAUGGAUCCGCGCCGCAUUAGCUAGUUGGUAAGGUAACGGCUUACCAAGGCAACGAUGCGUAGCCGACCUGAGAGGGUGAUCGGCCACACUGGAACUGAGACACGGUCCAGACUCCUACGGGAGGCAGCAGUAGGGAAUCUUCCGCAAUGGGCGAAAGCCUGACGGAGCAACGCCGCGUGAGUGAUGAAGGUCUUCGGAUCGUAAAACUCUGUUAUUAGGGAAGAACAAAUGUGUAAGUAACUAUGCACGUCUUGGCGGUACCUAAUCAGAAAGCCACGGCUAACUACGUG
rnacentral:rRNA from 1 species